UAAUACGGAGGGGGCGAGUGUUGUUCGGAAUUACUGGGCGUAAAGGGCGCGCAGGCGGCCUGGCAAGUCGAGUGUGAAAUCCCUUGGCUUAACUGAGGAAUGGCGCUCGAAACUACCUGGCUGGAGGGCGGGAGAGGGAAGUGGAACUCUCGGUGUAGGGGUGAAAUCUGUAGAUAUCGAGAGGAACACCGGUGGCGAAGGCGGCUUCCUGGCCCG
rnacentral:rRNA from 1 species